rnacentral:rRNA from 1 species
UACGUAGGGCGCAAGCGUUGUCCGGAAUUAUUGGGCGUAAAGAGCUCGUAGGCGGUCUGUCGCGUCUGCUGUGAAAACCCGAGGCUCAACCUCGGGCCUGCAGUGGGUACGGGCAGACUAGAGUGCGGUAGGGGAGAAUGGAAUUCCUGGUGUAGCGGUGGAAUGCGCAGAUAUCAGGAGGAACACCAGCGGCGAAGGCGGCGCUCUGGGCCGGUACUGACGCUGAGGAGCGAAAGCGUGGGUAGCAAACAGG